AGUGAACGCUGGCGGUAGGCCUAACACAUGCAAGUCGAACGGCAGCACAGGAGAGCUUGCUCUGGGUGGCGAGUGGCGGACGGGUGAGGAAUACAUCGGAAUCUACUCUGUCGUGGGGGAUAACGUAGGGAAACUUACGCUAAUACCGCAUACGACCUACGGGUGAAAGCAGGGGACCUUCGGGCCUUGCGCGAUUGAAUGAGCCGAUGUCGGAUUAGCUAGUUGGCGGGGUAAAGGCCCACCAAGGCGACGAUCCGUAGCUGGUCUGAGAGGAUGAGCAGCCACACUGGAACUGAGACACGGUCCAGACUCCUACGGGAGGCAGCAGUGGGGAAUAUUGGACAAUAGGCGCAAGCCUGUUCCAGCCAUACCGCGUGGGUGAAGAAGGCCUUCGGGUUGUAAAGCCCUUUUGUUGGGAAAGAAAUCCAGCUGGCUAAUACCCGGUUGGGAUGACGGUACCCAAAGAAUAAGCACCGGCUAACUUCGUGCCAGCCGCCGCAGUAA
rnacentral:rRNA from 1 species